rnacentral:rRNA from 1 species
GGGGAAUAUUGGGCAAUGGACGCAAGUCUGACCCAGCAACGCCGCGUGAAGGAAGAAGGCUUUCGGGUUGUAAACUUCUUUUAAGGGGGAAGAGUAGAAGACGGUACCCCUUGAAUAAGCCACGGCUAACUACGUGCCAGCAGCCGCGGUAAUACGUAGGUGGCAAGCGUUGUCCGGAUUUACUGGGUGUAAAGGGCGUGUAGCCGGGAAGGCAAGUCAGAUGUGAAAUCUGGAGGCUCAACCUCCAAACUGCAUUUGAAACUGGUCGUCUUGAGUGCAGUAAAGGUGGGCGGAAUUCGUGGUGUAGCGGUGAAAUGCUUAGAUAUCACGAAGAACUCCAAUUGCGAAGGCAGCUCACUGGAGUGUAACUGACGCUGAUGCUCGAAAGUGUGGGUAUCAAACA